rnacentral:lncRNA from 1 species
AGCAAAUGGAGUUCCUAGAAUUAAAGUAAGGGAAUACGAGAGUAGUAGAAUAUGCAAAAAAGUUCACAAAAUUGGCUCGGUUCGCACCCAAUGUAGUAGCAGAUAAAAGCUUAAGAGCUAAGAAGUUUCCGAGAGGCUGAUAAAAUCUCAAUUAUGAAUAUUAAUGACUGCAAAGAAGCACUAAAAUGGGCCCAAAUUACAUAAGAGUCUACAAGCCCAGUCCCACAACAGAUCCAACAGGCUCAACCAUUCAUAC